rnacentral:rRNA from 1 species
UCAUUUUGAAAAUUGUGGUCCGUGAUCAUGAAUUGUAAUAUUCAAAAUGCAUUGCUAACAAAAUUGCAUAUGUUAGUUUAUUGGAAAGAACAUUACAAAGGGUGAAAAUCCCAUUUGUCAUGUGUAUGUUUUGUGUACAGUGUGCAUUUCAUGAUUCACAUUCAUUGACAAUUGAAUGUAAAGCGAAUGGUAAACUUCAUUUAAACAUAAAUAUGUUGUUGAAAACUUAUAUCGAACAAAUACCAUGAGGGAAAUGUGAAAAGGAUUUUGAAAAGAAAAUUAAAAGAGCUUACAAUUGCUGGAUUGAUAAGCAAACAAAACACACAUGUGUAUGUGCAAGAUUGUUGUCAUGUUGUGCAAUUCAUGCAAAUUAACAUUGCUUUGGUUUUUGUGUAAUUUUGUCAGCUUUGGAAUUGAGAAUGAUUUUUUUGAGUGUGAAUGGAUUGUUGUUUGUUAACAAAGGAAUGCACUUUCAAAAUCAUUGUUUGAUUUGUCAAUCAAGUUUGUGGCGUGUGUUGUGUGUCAAAUUUAAUUAUAUAAUUCACAAAACACAUGAAGUUUGAGCUAUUAAGGCAAUUCUUGUUUUGUUUGACCCGUCUUGAA